UGCUCAGUUGGAGAAGUAAUUUACUGCAGGGUUUCAGAAUUGAAAGCUCUUUGCUUCAGCAUGAGCCCCUCAGCUCUCCGUGAAUUUUAAUCGAACUGUCAGCGUACAAGCGAAUGCUACUAUACAUAGAAAACAUUGCAACUGUGGCUCUGAAUAGAGAUUCUACCCCUACUACUGUGCGAGGUCAGACAUCACACUGCAGAACUCUAUACUAUACCUUGCUAAAGCACAGCAGGUUCUUUUUAAAACUACUAAUGGAUAAUCCCCUUGAUCUGAGGUCGUAAGAACCACUAUCAAGGUUUAUAUAGCAUUUGGAAGCAUUUACCCGUAAUUUGACCUGCUGGGUAGACUUAUGCUGGGGUUUCAUGUAUGAUACUAUAACAGCUAGCAUUGCAAGUGACCUUUUUCAACACUUAGGGCCAACACUUGGGUUGCAACUCUGCAUGCUUAUUUUGGAGCAAGACCUACAGGAGGUUAUUCAGAGUAAACAUGCCUGUUCCGCUUUUGAUUUGUGACUUCAAGUACAUAUUUGACAUUGAGCUUUAAUUCUUUCUGGUUGCCCCUGUGUUAGGUGCUUUGCUGAUCAAAUAAAAUAAAAAAUCAUUGGAACUAAUAUUUCCUUCUUCCCUCCAAUCUAAUCUCUCCCACCCCACCACAUUCUACCCUGUGUUAUUUUUUGAUGGUAUGGCACAAAAUGUCAGUAGUUGUGAGCCAUUGAGGUUUAAUGUAACUUCCACAUAAGGAAGCAGAAUGUCUCUGAAUAUUGGGUGCUGCGACGAGCAAGAUGGAAGCACAUUGACUUACCUACAAAUGUUGAAAAGCAGGCUGUGUAGGUGGCCAUGGUUGAAAACAAAAUAUUGCACAACUAUUCUGAUCUAGCAAUGCAAUUUUAAUUCUCCUUGUUGUUUCAGUUUUUAAAAAUAGUCUUAUCUUCCCUCUUGGUCCUAUCCUUUUUCCUGAUUCUUUCCAGAACGGCACAUGCACCUUGCUGGUUGGUUCUACAGUGUACAGCCAAAAGCUCUUGUGCUACUGGGACAAAGGGAGAGAUUUAUAAUAUGCCACCCCCCAGUACAAAUUUAUUUAUUAGACUGGUUCAAGUUUUGACCUCCACAUUGCAUGCCUCAGCAUGAAGCCAUGUUUAUAUGGAGUUGCAUUGAUCUCUGAGCAGCUUUGAUGUAAAGGCACACACUAGAGAGUCUCUGUCAGCAUUAAAAACCUUAUGACAAGCAAGUCAGUUCUUUAAGCUUGAAUUACUUGCAUUUCCUCAUGUUUAUUAACUUCGUUAAGGCUAACAGACCAAUUCAGUGCUUGUUGACCUCCCCUGAGAUUGAAGGGAGAUGGUUAAGAUUUGGGGCACAAGCUCAUGGCACAGAUUUGGCUCUGUUCAGUUUAAAAUGGUGGGUGAUUCUGUAAGCCCAGUGCCAAAAAAUUUGGGACUCAGACUCCUGUGCCACUUCUAACAAUGCCGUUGAUUCAAAACACAUACCGGGGCACUUUUCUCUCUGAUCCUAGGUAGCAGCCAGGAGGUGUUAGUGAUGUAGCCCAAACAAGUCAGUGAUGACACCAACAUUCUUUCUGCAGAAAGGAAGACUGGCCUGGAAAUGAGGAUGUCAAGUAUAAGACCAUUUCAACACGUUAUCUUUUUUUUAAAAAGAGAAGACAACAAAGAACAACAUUUUACUUAGCAAAGCAUAGGACUUGUAAUGCUUGUUCAAAUAACAUCAGGUGUUGUAAAUACUUAGGCUGUAUAACAGUGUCUGCUAUGCAUAAUUAAAUUUCUGUUAUAAAAAUAUAAAAGCCGCUUAGCACUGGCAGCAGAAUUAUCAGGCUUUACACUUGGAAUGGUAAUAAUUCCUUCUGAUGAGUACUUAUGCAUCUCCUGUCGUCUACUGUUAAUCAGUGUGUGUCGUACAUUUCCAAAGUAGACAUCCUAGGGUUCUUUUUCUUACUGGCAUUUUGGAUGUGUGUGUUUUGAAACAAGUCAUACAGAGAAAUAUGUUAACGGGGUUGUCAUUGCGUUCACGAGAUAUUUUUUUGCGCAGAGUAGUGCUUUCCUGGUGGUUUUAUUUUUUAGAAAUAAAAAGUUAAGCUAUAAA